GUAGGGGGCAAGCGUUGUCCGGAAUUAUUGGGCGUAAAGCGCGCGCAGGCGGUUCCUUAAGUCUGAUGUGAAAGCCCACGGGCUCAACCGUGGAGGGUCAUUGGAAACUGGGGAACUUGAGUACAGAAGAGGAGAGUGGAAUUCCACGUGUAGCGGUGAAAUGCGUAGAUAUGUGGAGGAACACCAGUGGCGAAGGCGACUCUCUGGUCUGUAACUGACGCUGAGGCGCGAAAGCGUGGGGAGCAAACAGGAUUAGAUACCCUGGUAGUCCACGCCGUAAACGAUGAGUGCUAGGUGUUAGGGGGCUUCCACCCCUUAGUGCUGAAGUUAACGCAUUAAGCACUCCGCCUGGGGAGUACGGCCGCAAGGCUG
rnacentral:rRNA from 1 species